rnacentral:rRNA from 1 species
GACGAACGCUGGCGGCGUGCUUAACACAUGCAAGUCGAACGGAAAGGCCCUGCCUUUCUGCGGUGCUCGAGUGGCGAACGGGUGAGUAACACGUGAGUCACCUGCCCUUGACUUUGGGAUAACUUCAGGCAACUUGGGCUAAUACCGGAUAGGAGCUCCUGCUGCAUGGUGGGGGUUGGAAAGUUUCGGCGGUUGGGGAUGGACUCGCGGCUUAUCAGCUUGUGGGUGGGGUAGUGGCUUACCAAGGCUUUGACGGGUAGCCGGGCUGAGAGGGGGACCGGACACACUGGGCUUGAGAUACGGCACAGACUCCUACGGGAGGGAGCAGUGGAGAAGGGUGCACAAUGGGCGGAAGCCUGAUGCAACAACGCCGCGUGCGGGAUGACGGGAAUGGGUUAGGAAUGUGCUUUCGUCUGUGACGAGGCGUGAGUGACGGUAAUGGGUGAAGAAGCACCGGCUAACUACGUG